AAAAAAACAAACCAUGGGUUUCCGCGUCCAACUUUAACUGUCCGUCUUAUAUGAAAUUUUUUUAUAAUUCGUAUUUUCAUUGCUGUUAGAUGAUAAAACAUGAUUAAUAUUUUAUACGCGACUUGUCUUUUUCAUUUUUUCAUAAUUUUUUCAAAUAAGACGAACGGUCAAACGUUGGGCACGGAAACCAUGGUUUGUCUUUUU
rfam:Oryza glaberrima chromosome 3 Oglab03_0115_8, whole genome shotgun sequence.